rnacentral:misc_RNA from 1 species
GAUGAAGAACGUAGCGAAAUGCGAUACGUAAUGUGAAUUGCAGAAUUCAGUGAAUCAUCGAGUCUUUGAACGCACAUUGCGCCCCCUGGUAUUCCGGGGGGCAUGCCUGUCCGAGCGUCAUUGCUGCCCUCAAGCACGGCUUGUGUGUUGGGCCUCCGCCCCCCGGCUCCCGGGGGGCGGGCCCGAAAGGCAGCGGCGGCACCGCGUCCGGUCCUCGAGCGUAUGGGGCUUCGUCCCCCGCUCCGUAGGCCCGGCCGGCGCCCGCCGGCGACCCCCCUCAAUCUUUCCAGGUUGACCUCGGAUCAGGUAGGGAUACCCGCUGAACUUAAGCAUAUCAAUAAGCGGAGGA